UUUUCCUGAAUGUGUCCAAUUUGUACCAUCUCUCCCACAGAGGACAAAUAAAAAAAUCUCACAUUCCCUAAGAAUUAUUUCGUGGCGUGUGUCUCUCCAGACUUUUGUUGUGGUGUCACUACUUGCAAGCCGUGAGUCUGUUUUGAGAACUCUCUCCAUCUCUCCAAAUAAAAACAUAUCAGAACAGUGA
rnacentral:lncRNA from 1 species